ACCUUCGUCUGGUCAGCUAACAUUACUGCCAAGCAGGUGAAAUAUAGAGUGAUAUUGUGGUUUUAGCUGACGUGUGUCGCCUCACUGUUUUGACCGAUGCUCGUUCAUGUUUAUGUAGAGUGAGCAAAGCGCGAGCCCGACUCUGAAUUUCGUUGACUUAACGGCCACAGGUGUCGCUGUUAACAAGCAAUUUCUGAUUCUUACAUAGAGUCCCUUUAA